rnacentral:sRNA from 1 species
CUCGCGGCCCGGGAGCUCAGCAGAGCUACCAGCUCCCCUGUUGGUUUCGCUGGUCGGAUUGUCCUCCUGGCCCCGCCAAACAGGCGGGGGGAGCGGCCCCGACUGUGGGGCCAUGGCAGUAGUCUCCUCGUUCUCCGCCGCCGCUAGCCUAGCUGAGUCGCCGGCUUCUGAGCUAGGGGCUCCCACCGCCUCCGCAGGCUAAGGAGCCGCUGCCACCAACGAGCUGUGAGGGUUACUAUGCUCCGUCUUUGCCGCCGUCUCCUCCUCUUGCCCGCGCAGGCACCCCUCUGGCUGCUCAGUCCUGCCUCAGUGUCAAACCAGAAGAGAAGUAAAAUUCAACAAAAAUUUAUGUGUGGAGUUCCUUCUUAAAAGAAGAAAAAAGUGAUUAUUUAGACUAUGGAUCGGAGCAAACGGAAUUCAAUUGCAGGAUUUCCUCCACGUGUGGAGCGUCUUGAAGAGUUUGAAGGAGGUGGUGGAGGAGACGGAAAUGUGAGCCAGGUGGGAAGAGUCUGGCCAUCUUCGUAUCGAGCCCUUAUAAGUGCCUUUUCCAGACUGACACGUUUGGAUGAUUUCACCUGUGAAAAAAUAGGAUCUGGCUUCUUUUCUGAAGUGUUCAAGGUACGACACCGAGCUUCUGGUCAGGUGAUGGCUCUUAAGAUGAACACGUUGAGCAGUAACCGGGCAAACAUGCUGAAAGAAGUACAGCUCAUGAAUAGACUCUCCCAUCCCAACAUCCUUAGUAUAUCAACUCCGGGAACCUGGAACAGUUGCUAGACAGUAACCUGCAUUUGCCUUGGACUGUGAGGGUAAAACUGGCCUAUGACAUAGCAGUGGGCCUCAGCUACCUUCACUUCAAAGGCAUUUUUCAUCGGGACCUCACAUCUAAGAACUGCCUGAUAAAGAGGGAUGAGAAUGGUUACUCUGCAGUGGUAGCUGACUUUGGCCUGGCUGAGAAGAUCCCCGAUGUCAGCCUGGGGAGUGAGAAGCUGGCCGUGGUGGGUUCCCCAUUCUGGAUGGCACCUGAGGUUCUCCGAGAUGAGCCCUAUAAUGAAAAGGCAGAUGUGUUCUCUUAUGGUAUCAUCCUCUGCGAGAUCAUCGCUCGCAUCCAGGCCGAUCCGGACUAUCUUCCCCGCACAGAGAAUUUCGGGCUAGACUAUGAUGCUUUCCAGCACAUGGUGGGAGACUGUCCCCCAGACUUUCUGCAGCUUACCUUCAACUGCUGUAAUAUGGACCCCAAACUGCGCCCAUCUUUUGUGGAGAUUGGGAAGACCCUGGAGGAAAUUCUGAGCCGCCUACAGGAAGAAGAGCAGGAGAGGGAUAGGAAGCUGCAGCCCACAGCCAGGGGACUCUUGGAGAAAGCACCUGGGGUGAAGCGACUAAGCUCACUGGAUGACAAGAUCCCCCACAAGUCACCAUGCCCAAGACGUACUAUCUGGCUGUCUCGAAGCCAGUCAGAUAUCUUUUCCCGUAAGCCCCCACGUACAGUGAGUGUCUUGGACCCAUACUACCGGCCACGAGAUGGUGCUGCCCGCACCCCCAAAGUCAACCCUUUUAGUGCUCGCCAGGACCUCAAGGGGGGCAAGAUCAAGUUUUUUGACCUGCCCAGCAAGUCUGUCAUCUCUCUGGUAUUUGACCUGGAUGCACCGGGGCCCGGAACUAUGCCCCUGGCUGACUGGCAGGAGCCCCUGGCCCCACCUAUUCGCCGGUGGCGUUCCUUGCCUAGUUCGCCUGAGUUCUUGCAUCAAGAGGCUUGUCCAUUUGUGGGCCGGGAAGAAUCGCUAUCUGAUGGGCCCCCACCACGCCUAAGUAGUCUCAAGUACAGAGUUAAAGAGAUCCCACCAUUCCGGGCAUCUGCCCUACCAGCUGCUCAAGCCCAUGAGGCUAUGGACUGCUCCAGUCUCCAGGAAGAAAAUGGUUUUGGGUCCAGGCCCCAGGGGACCAGUCCAUGCCCUGCGGGUGCUUCUGAGGAGAUGGAGGUAGAAGAAAGGCCAGCAGGCUCAACUCCAGCCACUUUCUCCACCUCAGGCAUAGGCCUGUAAACCCAGGGAAAGCAGGAUGGGUGAGGGGGGUUACCCUGCCUCACCUUGGGGAUGGAACUUCAGCUGAAACCAUAUGGCCCCCUAGGUGCACAGCCUUGAUUCUUCCCUGGAGCCUACAGAGCAGGCAGGCUAGGCCAAGCUAGGCUCAACUUCUGGGCUCCCAGUGCCCAUUGGCUGUGUAUGACAGGGUAGGCAGCAGUGAGAGGCCUUCCUAGUUAGGGCCAACAGCUGAUACCAAGCCUCUGAAAUCCGGCAAGGAGGUCUGCCUCCCACCAGACCCCCUCCAGUGUACUUCCCCAGAUAGGACCAGAGGAUGUCUAGUUCUAGGCUGAGCUGGCAGGCAGCUAUUACCCCGGUUCUUUCCCCACCCCAGGUCUGUCUCUUGCCCUUUCUUGGGGCAUAUAAGCUACUGAGUGGAACACGGAGCUGACCAAGAAGCCAUAACGGUCAUGGCUGUUUCCCAGACCUGAAUACUGGGGUGCUUCUUGCCAGUAUUCUAAGACACUUGAGUAAUUGCUGUUUGCACUUACUGCAUGGUCAGACCACGUCACUACAUUUCUAUGCAAGGGGACAGCAAGGCAGCGUGGUGGUCAUGGCUCUUAGCUAACCUAUUCAAAGACCUUUUCCCGUUGAUUAAUCUAUUUUCAUAUUUAUAGAGGAGUCUUAAUGUUUUGCCCCAUAAGACUUUCAACCUUGUGGUUGGGAGUGGGGCUGGUUUUGUAGGCCCUAGGGCCUGCUUCUAUGUAUUUGUCAACAUGUGAUACAUUCAAUUGGUUAAAUGGUUUAUACAGGGACUGAUUUUCUUCCCUUCCUGCCAUGGCUGGAGCUUUGGGAACAGUCUGUCCUUACAGAGCUGCAAUAAGAAAUAACCAAAGAUGAAGCGGUCAAAUAUUUUCAUAACUUGCUUCUGUUGAUUUUUUUUGUAAAACUUUCCCAAGACAUUUUCAGACUUCAAAAAUAAAGUCGGUAUUACAGGU